UUAGGAAUCUUCCACAAUGGGCGAAAGCCUGAUGGAGCAACACCGCGUGCUGGAUGAAGGCCUUCGGGUCGUAAACAGCUUUUGUAUACGAAGAAUUUGACGGUAAUAUACGAAUAAGGGUCGGCUAACUACGUGCCAGCAGCCGCGGUCAUACGUAGGACCCAAGCGUUAUCCGGAGUGACUGGGCGUAAAGAGUUGCGUAGGCGGCUUGUUAAGUGGACAGUGAAAUCUGGUGGCUCAACCAUACAGACUAUUGUCCAAACUGGCAGGCUUGAGAAUGGUAGAGGUAGUUGGAAUUUCUUGUGUAGGAGUGAAAUCCGUAGAUAUAAGAAGGAACACCAAUGGCGUAGGCAGACUACUGGACCAUUUCUGACGCUGAGGCACGAAAGCGUGGGGAGCGAACC
rnacentral:rRNA from 1 species